rnacentral:rRNA from 1 species
GGGUGGCAGGUGGUGCAUGGUUGUCGUCAGCUCGUGUCGUGAGAUGUUGGGUUAAGUCCCGCAACGAGCGCAACCCUCGACCUUAGUUGCCAGCAUUCAGUUGGGCACUCUAAGGUGACUGCCGGCUAAAAGUCGGAGGAAGGUGGGGAUGACGUCAAAUCAUCAUGCCCCUUAUGACCUGGGCUACACACGUGCUACAAUGGGCGGUACAAAGGGUCGCGAACCCGCGAGGGGGAGCCAAUCCCAAAAAGCCGCUCUCAGUUCGGAUUGCAGGCUGCAACUCGCCUGCAUGAAGCCGGAAUCGCUAGUAAUCGCGGAUCAGCAUGCCGCGGUGAAUACGUUCCCGGGCCUUGU